AUGAAGCUGGAUUCGCUAGUAAUCGCGCAUCAGCCACGGCGCGGUGAAUACGUUCCCGGGCCUUGUACACACCGCCCGUCAAGCCAUGGAAGCCGGGAGUGCCUGAAGUGCGUGACCGCAAGGAGCGUCCUAAGGCAAUACCGGUGACUGGGGCUAAGUCGUAACAAGGUAUC
rnacentral:rRNA from 1 species